rnacentral:rRNA from 1 species
CACGAAGUUAGCCGGGGCUUCUUCUCCGACUACCGUCAUUAUCUUCAUCGGUGAAAGAGCUUUACAACCCUAGGGCCUUCAUCACUCACGCGGCAUGGCUGGAUCAGGCUUGCGCCCAUUGUCCAAUAUUCCCCACUGCUGCCUCCCGUAGGAGUCUGGGCCGUGUCUCAGUCCCAGUGUGGCUGAUCAUCCUCUCAGACCAGCUAUGGAUCGUCGCCUUGGUGAGCCAUUACCUCACCAACUAGCUAAUCCAACGCGGGCUCAUCUAUCCCCGAUAAAUCUUUCCCCCGAAGGGCGUAUAGGGUAUUAGCACAAGUUUCCCUGAGUUAUUCCCUAGAGAUAGGUAGAUUCCCACGCGUUACUCACCCGUCUGCCGCUCCUCUUGCGAGGCGCUCGACUUGCAUGUGUUAAGCCUGCCGCCAGCGUUCGUUCUGAGCCAGGAUCAAACUCU